UGAGGAAUCUUGCGCAAUGGGGGAAACCCUGACGCAGCAACGCCGCGUGAGUGAGGAAGGCCUUCGGGUCGUAAAGCUCUGUCAGAUGGGAAGAAAUGGGUGGGGGCUAAUAUCGUCCACCCUUGACGGUACCAUCAGAGGAAGCACCGGCUAACUCCGUGCCAGCAGCCGCGGUAAUACGGGGGGUGCAAGCGUUGUUCGGAAUCAUUGGGCGUAAAGCGCGCGCAGGCGGCUUGGUCAGUCAGAUGUGAAAGCCCUGGGCUUAACCCAGGAAGUGCAUUUGAUACUGCCUCGCUAGAGUACGGGAGAGGAAAGUGGAAUUCCUGGUGUAGAGGUGGAAUUCGUAGAUAUCAGGAGGAACACCGGUGGCGAAGGCGACUUUCUGGCCCGAUACUGACGCUCAGGCGCGAAAGCGUGGGGAGCAAACAG
rnacentral:rRNA from 1 species